UCAACCUCCCGAGUGAGGUCUUUAACCUCUGCCUGUACAUGAAAGAACAAUCAUACAGUGUUAGGCAAUGCAUAAGAAAUUAAGAAAUAUUUUACAAAAUUGAAAUCAAAUUAGAAUCUAGUUACCUCAAGUCUCUGAAUGUGGUUAUCGACCUCCGGCACCCAAUUUAUCACCACCUCCACCUCCGCCAGACGCUUAGUGAGGCGUUCGAUCUGCUCCUCGACACCAUGGACCCAAGGCUGACGAUAAUGAAACCCAUCAGCCUUGGUAAGAAGAAAAAAAAAUUUUGAAUCAAUAAUCAAUCUCUUUUAAAAAAAAAAUUUCAUAAUACAAUUAAGAACAACCGUACCGUACCUC
rnacentral:lncRNA from 1 species